CCUGCCUCAGCCUCCUGAAUAGCUGGGAUUACAGGUUUCUUACCAAAUAUCUGGAGUUGACAACAAAUGUGAAAACUGAACAGCCUUUUCUGACAGGCAAGGAAGACCAAACUGCCAAUUGCCAAUGUCAGAUGUUCUCAAAGUAUGGUCCAGAGACUUCUGGGAGUCCCUGAGACACUUUCAGUGGGUCUACAAGUUCAAAACUAUUUUCAUAAUAAAACUAAGAUACCAAUUGA